GCCGAGUUAGGACAUUAAGUCGCCGACUUAGGAUAUCACAUAGUAUCUUAGGGGGGGAAUAUCACAAGCUCCCUUCAGCAACAAAAGGAGGGUAUCACAUGCUCUCCCGACAUUUCUGUCGCUCCAACAGGAGAUCGUCAGAAUUCGAGGGGAAGUAUCACAAGCUCUCCCGGCAUUUCUGUCGCUUCGGCGGGAAAUCGUCGAAUAUCGAGGGGGAGUAUCACAAGCUCUCCCGACAUUUCUGUCGCUCCGGCCGGAAAUCGUCGAAUCUCGAGGGGGAGUAUCACAAGCUCUCCCGACAUUUCUGUCGCUCCGGCCGGAAAUCGUCG
rnacentral:lncRNA from 1 species